rnacentral:rRNA from 1 species
GUUGUCCGGAAUUAUUGGGCGUAAAGCGCGCGCAGGCGGUUUCUUAAGUCUGAUGUGAAAGCCCCCGGCUCAACCGGGGAGGGUCAUUGGAAACUGGGUGAACUUGAGGCAGAAGAGGAGAGUGGAAUUCCACGUGUAGCGGUGAAAUGCGUAGAGAUGUGGAGGAACACCAGUGGCGAAGGCGACUCUCUGGUCUGUAACUGACGCUGAGGCGCGAAAGCGUGGGGAGCGAACAGGAUUAGAUACCCUGGUAGUCCACGCCGUAAACGAUGAGUGCUAAGUGUUAGAGGGUUUCCGCCCUUUAGUGCUGCAGCAAACGCAUUAAGCACUCCGCCUGGGGAGUACGGUCGCAAGACUGAAACUCAAAGGAAUUGACGGGGGCCCGCACAAGCGGUGGAGCAUGUGGUUUAAUUCGAAGCAACGCGAAGAACCUUACCAGGUCUUGACAUCCUCUGACAACCCUAGAGAUAGGGCUUCCCCUUCGGGGGCAGAGUGACAGGUGGUGCAUGGUUGUCGUCAGCUCGUGUCGUGAGAUGUUGGGUUAAGUCCCGCAACGAGCGCAACCCUUGAUCUUAGUUGCCAGCAUUCAGUUGGGCACUCUAAGGUGACUGCCGGUGACAAACCGGAGGAAGGUGGGGAUGACGUCAAAUCAUCAUGCCCCUUAUGACCUGGGCUACACACGUGCUACAAUGGGCAGAACAAAGGGCAGCGAAGCCGCGAGGCUAAGCCAAUCCCACAAAUCUGUUCUCAGUUCGGAUCGCAGUCUGCAACUCGACUGCGUGAAGCUGGAAUCGCUAGUAAUCGCGGAUCAGCAUGCCGGGGGAAAAACCUUUCCCGGGGCCUUGUACACACCGCCCGUCACACCACGGAGAGUUUGUAACACCCGAAGUCGGUGAGGUAACCUUUUGGAGCCAGCCGCCGAAGGUGGGACAGAUGAUUGGGGU